rnacentral:rRNA from 2 species
UACGGGGGGUGCGAGCGUUGUCCGGAAUCACUGGGCGUAAAGGGCGCGUAGGUGGUCUUGUAAGUCUGUGGUGAAAGCCUGGGGCUCAACCCCAGGUCUGCCAUGGAUACUGCGAGACUUGAGUACUGUAGAGGCAGGUAGAACGUCGGGUGUAGCGGUGGAAUGCGUAGAGAUCCGACAGAAGACCGGUGGCGAAGGCGGCCUGCUGGGCAGUAACUGACACUGAGGCGCGACAGCGUGGGGAGCAAACAGG